UACGUAGGGGGCAAGCGUUGUCCGGAUUUAUUGGGCGUAAAGAGCGUGUAGGCGGCCAGACAGGUCAGCUGUGAAAACUCGAGGCUCAACCUCGAGACGUCGGUUGAAACCGUCUGGCUAGAGUCCGGAAGAGGAGAGUGGAAUUCCCGGUGUAGCGGUGAAAUGCGCAGAUAUCAGGAAGAACACCCGUGGCGAAGGCGGCUCUCUGGAACGCAACUGACGCUGAGACGCGAAAGCGUGGGGAGCAAACAGG
rnacentral:rRNA from 1 species